rnacentral:rRNA from 1 species
AGCGAACGCUGGCGGCAGGCCUAACACAUGCAAGUCGAACGAACCUUUCGGGGUUAGUGGCGGACGGGUGAGUAACACGUGGGAACGUGCCUUUAGGUUCGGAAUAACUCAGGGAAACUUGUGCUAAUACCGAAUGUGCCCUUCGGGGGAAAGAGUUAUCGCCUUUAGAGCGGCCCGAGUCUGUUUAGCUAGUUGGGUGAGGUAAUGGCACACCAAGGCGACGAUCAGUAGCUGGUCUGAGAGGAUGAUCAGCCACAUUGGGACUGAGACACGGCCCAAACUCCUACGGGAGGCAGCAGUGGGGAAUCUUGCGCAAUGGGCGAAAGCCUGACGCAGCCAUGCCGCGUGAAUGAUGAAGGUCUUAGGAUUGUAAAAUUCUUUCACCGGGGACGAUAAUGACGGUACCCGGAGAAGAAGCCCCGGCUAACUUCGUG